AUUGAACGCUGGCGGAAUGCUUUACACAUGCAAGUCGAACGAUGAACCUUAGCUUGCUAGGGGAAUGAGUGGCGAACGGGUGAGUAAUAUAUCGGAACGUGCCCAGUCGUGGGGGAUAACGUAGAGAAAUUUACGCUAAUACCGCAUACGAUCUAAGGAUGAAAGCGGGGGACUCGCAAGGGCCUCGCGCGAUUGGAGCG
rnacentral:rRNA from 1 species